rnacentral:rRNA from 1 species
UACGUAGGGGUCGAGCGUUGUCCGGAUUUACUGGGCGUAAAGCGUGCGCAGGCGGCUCAUCGCGCUCGGCGUGAAAGCCCCCGGCUCAACCGGGGAGGGUCGUCGAGGACGGGUGAGCUUGAGGGUAUCAGGGGUUGGUGGAAUUCCCGGUGUAGUGGUGAAAUGCGCAGAUAUCAGGAGGAACACCAAUGGCGAAGGCAGCUCGCUGGGACGUGACUGACGCUGAGACGCGAAAGCGUGGGGAGCAAACAGG